UUGAAGGCUUUGCUUUUUAUUAUAUUGUCCACAAGUUGUGACAAGCUAGACGUCCAUCAUGUAAUGCACGAAUACCGGUAUACAUUAUGCAUUUCUUUCAUAUUUAAUAAUAUAAUAAUAAUAAUACAUUUAAUUUAGAGGCGCCUUUCAAGACACCCAAGGACACCUUACAGAGCAUAUAGUCAUCAUUCAAAACUAUGUAAAACAGACUAGGAAUAAAAGGAAAACAGAGGUUAAACAUGAAGAAUAAUAAUAAUUAAUAACACUCAAAGACGCCUAAAGUGAAGGGGGGACCUCACUAACCACCACCAAUAUGUAGCACCCACUUGGGUGAUGCACGGCAGCCAAUCGGUGCCAGAACGCUCACUACACACCAGCUUGAGGUGGAGAGUUAGGGAUGAGGUGGAGAGUGAGGGAAAAGAACAUUUAAACACUAUCGACCAUAGUUAAACACUAUCGAUCACAUUUAAACAAUAUCGACCACAUGUAAACACUAUGGACCAUAAGAUAUAUACAAGAUAUAUUUCAGCUAUAUCUUUUUAUAUGGAUUGCCGUGACUAACAAUAUUUACAAUAUGUAGUAUUUGCUACCCUGCCCUCAAAGGCCUCCCUGGACCAGUCAUGCUGCAUUUCCGCCGCUCCGCACCGUUGAGAUACAGGAGCCUGACCACACGCGUUCCGGUGUUGAGUUUCCACUGAGCAGCGCGGGUCUAGCACCUCGGCAGGCUCAUGGUACGGCUCACUGCGCGACUUCACGCCAGGGCUGAACCUUGGCAUCUUGGCCCAGACCGGGCAAAUGUUUUGUCUGCUUGCAAAAGCGUGCCAUGGCGGUAGGUUUCAUAUGCUUCUGCUCGUGCCCCGCCCUGAAGGGGGGCCUUGGGUGACCACCACCCAACAAACCAGACGUGGGUCAAAGAGUAUGUUUGUGCUGGGACAAUGUGUGACACGGUACAGCUGCAGAAAGCUAGUCUAACAAUGUUUUAUUUAUGUCCAAUUCAAAACGUACACAUUCUCGCAUGUGGCUUGAGGGCGUGCCUGUGUGUGACACUGAAUAAACGUAAAGCUGUAUGGCUUGUUACUUUGUUGUGGGUCGCAGUAUUCGACGUUGGGCACGGUGUAGCAGGCAGCAAAAGUAGUGACACAUUAACCUGCGCUUGAACUACAGGUGCGCGGUUUAAAACACAUCAAACACUGCCCCACGAUCACACCCUGUCCUGCGGUACAUCGUCUCGAUAUGCGGGACGGGGGACAAACAGUGAGGUCCCACAUCAAGGGGGACACCUGCUCACCUCGUGAACUACUCCCUAUAAACCAAGCGUAGGUUACAGCACACUGCCGUAGAGCAGGUUUUACCAGGGGCGAGCCAAAACAUUUCAGAUUAUUUGUUCCGUUGUCGUCUGACCUUAAGGCGGGAAAACGCCAAGACAGACAGCCGGAAGCCGCCCUCGUCAUCGUGGACGCGCCGUGAUCCCGGCGGGGGAUCAAAGGAUCCCUCCGAGUGUUGGCAGACCGAGCCUCGCUCAUCCGUUUCCCCCCGCUAACACCGCUAACACCGCGCCUCCAGCCAGCCCUCUGCCCCCUCUUCCUCCUCUUCCUCCUCUCCCUCCUCUCCCCCCUCUCCCUCCUCUUCCUCCCCACUCUCCCUCUCCCCCGCCGGACCCCAGGCGCCGUUCCGGAGCGGCCAGUCCCCGUCGGCGCCCCAGGUCGGCGGCCGGCUCGUCCCGGGCCACCCGUCGUCCCGUCCUCGCUCCUCCGUCUCCAUGGCGAUCUGAUGGCUGUUGAGGUAGAUGCUGCUGUGGGAGGGGCCGGGGCUGCCGCCCCCCCCCGAGGAGAGCCGGCCUUCCUCUGCCUCCCCGGGUGGCCGGAGCAGGGUGGCCUGGAGGUCCGGGCGGGGUUCCCCGGUGGGCCCCGGGUGCACGCCGUUUUCUUCUUGUGGCCCCGCUUGGUCUCCUUGAGGUCCAGGGAGGCGUAGUUCAUGUGGGACUCUGAGGGCUGGUGUCACACGCACAGAGAUGGUCAUAUGCAUGUACAGCGGGACUGGGACACACACACACACACACACACUCACGCACACACAUGCACACACAGGCACACACACACACACACACACACACACACACACACACACACACACACACACACACACACACACACACACAUGAACAAACACAUGUCCAGGAAAUCAUAUGCUCACACAAAAAGACAAACACACACACGCACACACACACACACACACACACACACACACACACACACACACACACACACACACACAUGCACAUGGGGUACACACAUAACCAGGCACACACACACAUACUGAUUAUAAACUCUAUAGUCAGGUAGGGUCUAUAAUAGUUUACAGUAUAUGGGUUUAACAAUUAUGCACAUUCAGAGCAGUGUGGAAAGAGAUAUGAAUAUUAUUCACGUUGUUUUUUAAUUCUGAUUAUUAUGAUCAUCAUGCUCUGUCUAGUGUUCUCAAUCCUUUUCCUAGCACACAUUACGGUCAAACCAGGUACCUUGUUGCCUUGUGCAUGCUGCAGGGUCAUCGAUUCCCGCGGCGCAGUGCACCCUUUCACUGUUUAAAGAGCGCAAAUAAAUGAUUCAAACAAAGCGCGUCAGUCUCAACUGCAAACUGCUUUUUUCGGCCACAAUGAAUGCCACAUUCGAUAAACAUCGUUAUGCGAUGUGACACACAGAAGGAAGGAGGAAAGGAAAGACUUAAACGAAACACAAACACUCGAAAGCUCUACAGAUCUUGUCCCACUUGGCCUCACCUCUUCUUACUUUGAGAAUGUUUCCAUAAAUAGGAUUCUCUUGAUGCUCGGGGAUAUCAUCGUGAAAGCGAUAGACUCCAUUCUCCAUACUAGAGCUGGAACUGGUCAGGACAGACAGGAAAGAGGAAAUUAUAAUAAUGUGCGGUGGACAUUAUGUUACAGCAACCCCCUGUUCAUAGUUUACACACAUUGGAGCAAAACAGUCUGGGCCAUGAGCAUAUCUAGGGCCCUACUGGUAUAGAUAGAGCUAGGGCCCUCCUGGUAAAGAUGGACCAUAACUACAGCCCUACUGGUAUAGAUAGAGCUAGGGCCCUCCUGGUAAAGAUGGACCAUAACUACAGCCCUACUGGUAAAGAAAGAGCUAGGGGCCCUCCUGGUAAAGGUAGAGGCCAUAGCUAGGGCUCACCUGGCAUAGAUGUAUAGAUUGGGGUCACAAUAAAUGCUGCAGGAUUCCUAUAAAUACACCGACACACACAGACACACACGCACAACUUAGUGGUGGCUAUGCCCCAAAAAU
ensembl:lncRNA